UAAUAUAAAGUCUAACCUGCCCGAUGAUUAAUUUUGAAUGGCCGCGGUAUUUUGACCGUGCUAAGGUAGCAUAAUAAUUAGUUUUUUAAUUGAAAACUGGUAUGAAUGGUUGGACAAAGAAAUAGCUGUCUCAAAUUUAAUUUAAUUAGAAUUUUAUUUUUAAGUUAAAAAGCUUAAAUAUAUUUAAAAGACGAGAAGACCCUAUAGAGUUUAAUAUUUAUUGAUUAAAUUAAAUUUUAAGAAUUAUAUAUUUUAUUUAAUUUAUAAUAUUUUGUUGGGGGGACAAAAAAAUUUAAUUAACUUUUUUUAUAUUUUUACAUAAAUUUAUGAGUUAAUGAUCCAU
rnacentral:rRNA from 1 species